CGGGCACGCGCCCGUAAAGACGCAUCCCGCUGGGAGGGCAGUCCGCUCCUUGCAUGGCCGCGAGCUUCGGCGCUCGACGCGGUUUCAUUGCUCCUCCCUAAGCGGCCUGGGAACGCCGGCGCCCAUAGGCGCAGGCCGUGCGGGAUGCCAUCAUGAAUAGCGAUGAGC
rnacentral:ncRNA from 1 species